rnacentral:rRNA from 1 species
CAGCCGCCGCGGUAAUACGGAGGGGGCUAGCGUUGUUCGGAAUUACUGGGCGUAAAGCGCACGCAGGCGGCUUGGUAAGUUAGAGGUGAAAGCCCGGAGCUCAACUCCGAAAUUGCCUUUAAGACUGCCGAGCUAGCAGGUGAGAGAGGUAAGUGGAAUUCCGAGUGUAGAGGUGAAAUUCGUAGAUAUUCGGAAGAACACCAGUGGCGAAGGCGGCUUACUGGCUCAUACUGGACGCUGAGGUGCGAAAGCGUGGGGAGCAGACAGGAUUAGAUACCCCUGUAGUCCCUGUCUCUUAUAC